UGUAACUUGUCAGCCUCACAAUUACGCCUCUUUCUAAAAAAACCUACCAAAUAGUACACUUUCCCACUUCCAGAUUCAUAAUCCACCCCUUCAAUAUUCUUGCCCUUUUGGAUCCUUCAGCUCCUUCUUCUCUUCUUAUGGAUAAUCGGUGUUCACUUCCUUGAUUGUUGUGUCAUUUGCGUCGUCAGCGGCUUUGAAAGGUAUUUGAUUUCAGCUGGACUGUAAGAUGAGUUAUGUCAAAAGUAUCCAUGUCAAGCUUGCAGCAAUAUGUACAGUGGUGUGUGCAUCAGGUUGCUCUGAAUCGAACCCUCUCGUAGCUUCGCAUCAGUGGUUGAUGUGUGGAUUCUAAUCUGACCAUGUAGUCCUCGACUUUUGCUGCUAACCCUCUGAUUGUAAGCUUGCAUAGCCUAUGCUAGCUUUUCCUUUCUCGCAGUUAUUAAGCUCAAAUAGCUCGAACUUAAUAUGUAAAUUGAAUGUCUAUGAGACUCUAGACUAUGUUGAUCUUUGUGACUGUUGUUCCUGCUGGUUGGUAUUUGCUUUAAUCUUUCUUGUUUUAAUGCGCAAACUUUGGAUUUGUAGCUUAUCAAUGUUUAGG